rnacentral:rRNA from 1 species
UACGUAGGGGGCGAGCGUUGUCCGGAUUCAUUGGGCGUAAAGCGCUUUAACGCGGUUCGCUAAGUCGCGUGUGAAAACUCCAGGCUCAACCUGGAGACGCCACGCGAUACUGGCGUGACUAGAGUUCGGUAGGGGAUCACGGAAUUCCUGGUGUAGCGGUGAAAUGCGCAGAUAUCAGGAGGAACACCAGUGGCGAAGGCGGCUCACUGGCCCGGUACUGACGCUGAGGUGCGAAAGCGUGGGGAGCAAACAGG